rnacentral:misc_RNA from 1 species
AAGAGCUCUGCUGUUCCCCGUUUUUCUUUUGUUCGUUUUUGCUCCUUUCGCCGCACCCCAACCCCUCCACUGGCCCUUCCUUCCUUUUCCCGUCUUCCUCUGCCCACUUGUCACGGGCAGCGCUACGGAGUUCUCCUGUGGCUGCGCUAUCGACUUGAGGAGAGCAAGCCAAGUACAUCAAAAUCGACACUCACCACCCCCACACCCUCCCUGCUCCCGCUCCUGCACUUGAGCAGAUACGGCCGUACGUUGGCGUCUUUGCAGCACUUCUCAUUCUUUAUUACAUUUCUCUUGUUCACUUCGUGUGGUGCCGUUUCGACAAUGUCUGCACACGAUAAGAGCUUGGCGUACCCUUUCCCCAUCUCGAUGAAGAUGUAUCGAGAGCAGCGUGAGCGGCUGGGUGCGUCGCUCCAGCAGGCGUUCCCGGAGGGUGGCCACGCAGCGGUGCUGCAGGCCGCCUCUGAGGUGCCCGUGAACUCGACGGACUGUAACUACCUCUUCGUGCAGGAGAGCUACUUCCACUACCUCUUCGGCGCGGAGAUCCCGGACGCGUACGGUGCUGUGCUCGCGGGCGGCAAGAGCUUCUUCUUCAUUCCGCGGCUGCCGGCGGAUUUCGCGACGUGGAUGGGCCCGCUGCCGACACCGCAGGGCGUGAAGGCGCAGCUGGAGGUGGAAGAGGUGCACUACGUGGACGAGAUGGAGCAGGUGCUGAUGAGCAGUGGGGUACACACCGCCGAGGUGCUGAAGGGCACGAACACGGACAGCGGUCUCGAGGUGCUGCAGGCGAAGCUGCCGGAGGGGACCGCGCUGGCAACGUCCACCGACUACCUUUACCGCGUGCUGAGCUCGCAGCGCUGCUACAAGACGGCCCUUGAGGCUGAUGUGCUGAAGUAUGUGUGCAAGGUGUCAAGCGCCGCGCACGUCAAAGUGAUGCAGAUCGCGAAGCCCGGCAUGUCGCAGCACCAUCUCGAGUCUACAUUCCUCCACGACGUGUACUACAAUGGCGGCUGCCGCCGUGUGAGCUACACUUGCAUCUGCGCCACGGGCUCCCACGGUGCUACCCUGCAUUACCCGGACAACAACUGCGUGAUCGAGGACGGCACGAUGGCGCUGCUGGACAUGGGCGGCAACUACCGCGGCUACGCGGCCGACAUCACCUGCAGCUUCCCUGUGAACGGCAAGUUCACCGAGGCGCAGAAGACCAUUUACAACGCGGUGCUCGACGCGCACGACAGGGUGAUGCGCGCGAUGAAGCCGGGUGUUAAGUGGAUGGACAUGCACCUGCUCGCCAUCCGCACGAUCUGCAUGCACCUGAUCGCGGCGGGCAUCCUCAAGGGCGACAUCGAAACGCUCAUGACGAAGGAGAUCAUGCAGUACUUCCAACCACACGGCCUCGGCCACCUUAUCGGCAUCGACGUGCACGACGUUGGCGGCUACAUGGAGGGUUGCCCUGAGCGGCCGACGAAGAAGGACUGCUGCCGUCUGCGCACUGCGCGCACGAUCGAGGAGGGGCUUUACAUGACCAUCGAGCCUGGCUGCUACUUUAACACGGCACUUCUGGAGAUGGCGAAGGCGAACCCGGAUGUGCGGGAGCACCUGAACAUGGAAAAGCUCGAGGGGUACGAGAAUUUCGGUGGCGUGCGCAUCGAGAGUGACGUCUUGGUCACGAAGGACGGCGUGGUGAACUACACUCUAGUGCCACGAACGGUGGAAGAGAUCGAGAGAACGAUGGCGGGUGCGCCCUUCACGAAGGAGGUGGAGGUGUACCACAACUGAAUCCAGCUGUGACCGCGACAGGGGCGGCGUUCGGGACGCUGGCCGGGUGGGUCUUUUGCUCUACGGUGUCCAAACCCCUGAUAUGCGUGCCACUACCGCCUCUGGUGUGAACCGUCCGUAGAGCCGACAAGGAAAACAGACCCAGAUAAUAGGGCCAAAGCAGAUGGAAACUUGCACGCAUGCACGCGCGCAUUCACCUGCACUGACAAAGACAGUCGGAUGGACUCGGCCAAAUCCCAUUGUGAAGGUGUGCGUCUCUCUCUCUAUAUGAUCAUAGGAAAAGACCAGGCACACCCACCCACACACAUAAAUACAUCUGCGCCUUCUUUGUUGUUCUUGUUUGCCUUCCGGUGUGUUUGUCUGCGUGCAUGCGCAGAAUGGUUAAGUGUUUUCUUGUGUAUCAACACAUGUUUUUCUUUCUGCUUUGGUGCGUGCCUCGGAUGAGUCUCGAGCAGCAACUCGCUUCUUUUUCAUUGUUGUGCUUUCGCUCUGCUCGUUGCGGUUUGGGAGCUUGUCUCCUGUUUGGGAUGCGGGCGGAAGAGAGAGAGAGUGAUGAACUCGCUCGAAGGGAGCGGCUGCUGAGGCAGCAACUGUCGGAGUGCAGGCGAGAAGGUCAGAAAGAAUGAAAGAAGCGGUCCGCGCUCGCGUGGCACUGGCGCACGGAUUGCUGAGAAUGUGCACGAAAAGGCUAGAUGAGAGCAACCCAGAAGAGACAGGUUGGGUGUAGUUGCACGCUGUGCGUGAUGAAGGACUCGAAGACGACUGAUAAAAGCCGUUACAGGCGACCCGGUCUUCCUAGCCUUCUUUUCUCGCUCGGCGUGCAGGUCUCAUCGCGGCCUUCCCUUCGCUUCUUCAGCUCCUUUCAUGUUGCUCUGCUCUUCGACUUGCUCUUCUCCGUCACUGCCUUUGAAAGCGUGUGAGUGCGUGCAUGUUGACAUCCUUGCUCCUUUCCUCGCAUUUAUCUCUUUUUGAAUUCUCGUCUUCGUGCGCGGCUCCUCAGACCGCACCUCACCCGCCUUCCCACCGAAAUCGAGUGUUCUCUGGCGCUCUUUUUGCGCGAAAUGGUGGUGAUCAGGGGAGGGGGACAUAAGCGUGGUGAGGGUGCGGCGCUACUCUCUGUUGAUCGGGAACGGGUGAAAGAAAAAAGGUAGAAACAAACAACAUAAGAAACUCCUUUCGAGGUCCAUCGAAAGAAGAAUCACGACAGUUGAAAACAACAACAAAAAAAGCAUGGACAGAGCGAGUGACAGCAGUUUUCGUGAGGCGGAGGGCCCUGCUAAAAACGGGG